UACGGGGGGGGGCAAGCGUUGUUCGGAAUUACUGGGCGUAAAGGGCUCGUAGGUGGCCAACUAAGUCAUACGUGAAAUCCCUCGGCUUAACCGGGGAACUGCGUCUGAUACUGGAUGGCUUGAGGUUGGGAGAGGGAUGCGGAAUUCCAGGUGUAGCGGUGAAAUGCGUAGAUAUCCGAAAGAACACCGGUGGCGAAGGCGGUGGUCUGGGCCUGAACUGACGCUGAGGAGCGAAAGCCAGGGGAGCAAACGGG
rnacentral:rRNA from 1 species